rnacentral:rRNA from 1 species
UACGGAGGGUGCAAGCGUUAUCCGGAUUCACUGGGUUUAAAGGGUGCGUAGGAGGGCAGGUAAGUCAGUGGUGAAAUCUUCGAGCUUAACUCGGAAACUGCCGUUGAUACUAUCUGUCUUGAAUACCGUGGAAAUGAGCGGAAUAUGUCAUGUAGCGGUGAAAUGCUUAGAUAUGACAUAGAACACCAAUUGCGAAGGCAGCUCGUUACACGAAUAUUGACUCUGAGGCACGAAAGCGUGGGGAUCAAACAGG